rnacentral:rRNA from 1 species
UACGUAGGGUGCGAGCGUUAAUCGGAAUUACUGGGCGUAAAGCGUGCGCAGGCGGUGAUGUAAGACCGAUGUGAAAUCCCCGGGCUUAACCUGGGAACUGCAUUGGUGACUGCAUUGCUGGAGUAUGGCAGAGGGGGGUAGAAUUCCACGUGUAGCAGUGAAAUGCGUAGAGAUGUGGAGGAACACCGAUGGCGAAGGCAGCCCCCUGGGUCAAGAUUGACGCUCAUGCACGAAAGCGUGGGGAGCAAACAGG